rnacentral:rRNA from 1 species
GAUGAACGCUGGCGGCGUGCCUAAUACAUGCCAGUCGAGCGAACAGACGAGGAGCUUGCUCCUCUGACGUUAGCGGCGGACGGGUGAGUAACACGUGGAUAACCUACCUAUAAGACUGGGAUAACUUCGGGAAACCGGAGCUAAUACCGGAUAAUAUAUUGAACCGCAUGGUUCAAUAGAGAAAGACGGUUUUGCUGUCACUUAUAGAUGGAUCCGCGCCGCAUUAGCUAGUUGGUAAGGUAACGGCUUACCAAGGCAACGAUGCGUAGCCGACCUGAGAGGGUGAUCGGCCACACUGGAACUGAGACACGGUCCAGACUCCUACGGGAGGCAGCAGUAGGGAAUCUUCCGCAAUGGGCGAAAGCUUGACGGAGCAACGCCGCGUGAGUGAUGAAGGUCUUCGGAUCGUAAAACUCUGUUAUUAGGGAAGAACAAAUGUGUAAGUAACUAUGCACGUCUUGACGGUACCUAAUCAGAAAGCCACGGCUAACUACGUG